rnacentral:misc_RNA from 1 species
UUUCCGUAGGUGAACCUGCGGAAGAAUCAUUAGACCGCUAGUCGCAAUAAAAAAAAAAAGGAGUGUAUCCAAUUUUUUUGGGAGAGAUAAAAUAAUUUCACUCUCCUUCUUAUUGGUACAUUCCGAGCUCCUGGACUUCUUUUCUUUUUUUCUUCUUCAUUGAAGAAGAAUCUAAAAGGUUAGGGUCUAAGACUUUUUCUUUAAAAAUAAAAAUAAACAACUGUCAGCAACGGAUACCUCGGCUCCCGCAUCGAUGAAGAACGCAGU